ACUUAAUUUACCCGUGAUUCUCCUCGGUGGAAUAGCCGCAUACUCCCACUCGUGAACACUAUACAUUUAUCAUGGUCUGCUAGACACACUUGCAGUGAUCCUUGAGGGCGCCAGAAUGAAAAUAUAGGAAGGCUCCCGCUGGAGCAAAGUGCAUAAACUCGAUCAGGAAACAGGGAGGGUGAAAAGGGAGUGGCGGAACGUUGGGUGUUUCCGGUGCCUACCUGACUUAGGUUGGCCACUCCCACGGAGCGGCGUCUGCCCCGGAGUGUUUCUCCGCCUCUUGUUCGAGCUAGCCAAUGAGCAGCGUAGCUCCAAGGAGGCGGGACUUCCUGCUUUCAACCCCGGGACGGUUAAAUCCUUUCGUGGAAAGUCGGAAGCUCCUAUUCCUCUGGAGGUUGUUCAGUCGACGCUACUCCCCGUCCUCCCUACGUGGUUUUAUCCUUCUCCAGCUUCCAGUAGUUUCUGUUUAUGCUGGCGUGCAAAGCUGUUUCAAAGAAGUAUUAUCGAUGACCCGGAACGGUUUAAUAUGCAUUGAGAAAACUGUGAUGUUAUGACCUAUUUAAUAUAGGGUUGUUCUUGGAAAACUUAUAUUCAUUAGCAAUGGAGAUUGAAAAGCGCAUGGUACUUUAUGAAGAUGAUUCAGUAGAAGUACACUAUCUUGAUGGCUCCAAAUUACAACUUUCUCCAUGUGGCUCCGAAUUCCUAUUUGAAAAGGCACCUCCUAUUUCCGCACAUCCUUUGCAGCAACCAGAAAGAAUUCGUCAAAGGACCCAAUUUGUUAUUAGUAAUUACAGAGAGCAAUUACUACAGGCCCUAGAUUUUAGAAAUUGCUUUUCUAAUUGUCCAUUUUUACCUGAAAGCAUUAUACCUUCUGAAAGAAAACAGUCUAUUUAUACUGAUAUCUCAGAAGUCAGGUGGCCCAGUCGUGAUACUCAUGAUGCAGUGAUUUGUAUGGAUGACGGCACUGUGAAGAUUUCAUCUUUAGAUGGUCAUGCUUAUCUUUGUCUACCUAAACAGCAGCAUGAAUUUACUAUACAUUUUUUAUGCAAAAUCAGCCAGAAGUCUCACUCACUAAUGGUACUGCCAGAAAAAAAGAGUAAUGAUUUUAAAAAAGUACAUCACCAAUGGGAAAAAGCAAGCAAAUGCUGUAUGUCUCAAACAACUUCUGAUGGACAAAUUUUGCAGAAUAAGGAAAAUAAUUCAUACUGCCAUAUCUUGAAAUCCAAGGAAUUAUUGGGGGCAAAUAAUUUUGUAAAUGAAUCUGAAGAAAAAGAAAUGACACCUUUGUCUCACAAGAAAUACACAUUUGUGUACACAUGGGUGAAACAGUGCUGGUCAAUGGAGUCAUGUCCAGAGCAAUGGAAAUACCCUUUAUCUUUGGCACUUGACUUUCUUCAAGCUGAUCAAAAUGUUAAACAGAUCCCAGUUUCAGCAUCUGAUAUUUCAAAGGAAGAUGAAGAGGUUUCUGUUCUUCCCAGAGCUCUUCCCCUCAGUUGUCAUAAUCCACAUCUGCACAGAUGGAAUUUCUCUGAUUCAUCUUUGCAGGAACAAGAAUAUACCUAUCCUGAACUUGCAAAAGUAGUAUGGUAUAAAGGUACAUUAUUUAGAUUAACUCUUGAAACUGUGAACUCAAUAGAAAUUUUUCCUGGUGAUGGAUCCAUUCUCAAAUCAGAAGGAACUUUUUUGGGGAACUAUUUCACAUUCUCUCCAGCACACAAAGAAUCAGAACAAAGAGAAGAGAAAAUGUAUUCAAUAAAAAACCUUCCUCCAGAUAGACCAGGGAAUUCGUAUUCUGUUUGUUCCCUUAUUACACAGGCCACCAGAAUUCUUCAACAUUGUGUCAAAAUUAGACUUUCUUUAAGCCAUAAUUAUAAUAUAUGCUGCUGGAAAAUGGUUUCUGGAUCAAAUAAAGGGAAUAUGCCAGUGCUUUUGAAGGAGACACUCAUUCCCAUGAUAGGAAGUUUUUUUGUGUAUUCUGAUGAUAAAGUAUUUGCUAUCUUUUUGGAUGGUGUUUCCUUAACCCUAAUUUGGAAUUUCAGAAAGACACAGAGAAAUCAAGGUGUUACCUUAGGUUGGUGUAAAUUAACUCUCCCAGAUGGACAAGAUCAUUUAAUUCAAAUGGAACAUCCUGGACAAUUUGAAAGGUAUGUGACAACAGUAGUAGCUUGGUGCAAGAGUCUUACUCAGACUAAUCUUCAGGAGAUUUUCACAUAUCCUCCAUCAUCACCUAUUACUGAAGAAAACUGGUCUGUUACUUCUGAACUUGAAAAAAUGCGAAAAUUUAACUUUUUAUUGGAGAACAAUAGUGUCCUAAAUCAGAUUUCUACUGAAAAAAACAAGCAGUCUUCUGGUAGUUCCAAGCCACAAUCUUCGGAACUCUGUAGCUUUUUUGAAGAAGUUAAUCAAAAGAGUGUAUCAUUAGCAUUGAAGAAAACCUCAGAAAUCCUUCAGGACAUUGAAUCUCUAAUAUCCAGUUCCAAAAAAUUUUGUUUAUGGAGCAACAGAUAUUAUUAAGAAUAGCCUGCAUGUACUUUUGCUAAAUGUUGAAGGACGAAGAUGAGUAUGACAGUUCCUGCCCUUGAAUUUAGCAAAGCAAUUUUAAAAGGAAUUUGAAGAAAUCAGAAGCUACACAACAAUGACAAAAAUAACGAAGGGGAUCAGAAAUAAACUUUAUGCUAAGUAGAAUCAACAAAUACCCAUGGAUUGAGUAAUGAACCUUGUAAAGGUCUUUCCUAUGAAAACUGAGUAUUCAUAAAUAAGUUUUAAUCUUGUUAUUUUUUUAAUAGCAUCUGGAUAUGUAGUAGGUUGCCUGGAAUUUAGGCCUGGGCCCUGAUCCUUAAUGAGUAACUGUGGAUACCAGCUUCUCUGCUACACUGUUCUUGCUACUCCUUGGUUGAAGUAGGGAGGCUUCAUGGUGCCAGAAGUUUCAUAUAGUUACUUUUACUGCAAUAGUAGUCCCCAAAAGUGACUUUUCGGGGCAAAAGUUUCAAUAUAGAGAGACCCCAUGGGUGGCAACUACAGUAAUUAUGAUGAUAACAGAGGUAACUAGUGACUAAGACAUCAAAGAGCAGUCAAGCUCAACAUCUAUGUAUAUUGUAUAUGUUUUCUGAAGUCCAGUAAUGGACUAUCUUGCAUUCUGGACUUGAUACUCAAAUUCAAUUGGAAUUUUCUAGUUUCAGCCUCCUUACCCUUAAUAGUUAUCAUGCCAAAUUGCCAUUAGGCUAGUGACAAAUUGAUUAUGAAAAUGUUUUUUAGUAAGUUAGCUCUGUCUCUGUCUAUCCCUAGCAUGUAAGUACAUACUCUGGUUAAUAAAUUCCAAAUUGGAAUUUGGUCCAAGACUUUUUUCAACUUAGUUGUUUAAGUUAAAGUGUUCUAUGCUUGACUUUUUUUUCUUUACAGAAUAAACUGAUUUUGACAGAAAACCAAGGAAUAAACAAGCAAUAAAUGAUGUUUCAUGCCUGAAAGGGAAAUUCAGCCAAACAGGGGAGACCUCUUAAGUCAGUAUUGCCUGAAGUAAUGUAGCACUUGAAGAACACGGGUUCUAAUUCUCCAAUGUCCCAUUCAUCUCUUAAAUUUUUUAUUCUAAUUAUAAUUGCUGCAUCCACUUCCACUUUCUGAAUUCUAUUGACUUUUAACCUCUGAAUCUGUUUCCUCCUUCACAUGUAAAAAUUUUCUUAAUUGUCAUUUAGAAAGGAAGAACUUGAUAGCACAUUGUAGACAAAUACAGAUAGAGGCAAUUUUUCUUUCAGUUGCCUUUGGAACUUGUCUAUUGAUCAAAGUAUUUAUUGAGUACCUACCAUGGUAGGUGCUUAGCAUUCUGAGUUAUUGAGAAGACAAAGUCUUUUGACAGAAUUUAGUAUCUAGGGAGAUGACUAAGUUCUUUAAGAGUAGAGAAGGGAAAAUAAAAAAUUUCCCCAUCUUCCCUCCUCUCAGUGCUUUUGUUCUAGUUGAGGCACUUAUCAAUUCUCUCCCAGUCAAAUAUGACUAUUACUCCCCUAGAUUUUCUGCUUCUAGGCAUUCCAUCAGUCUGACUUUCAAAUAGUUGCCAAAAUAUUCUAAGACACAAGUUUGAUCAUGUCACUUCACCACUAAAAACCUGUAGUGUCUUCCCUAUUGCCUGUAGCAAACAUUUUAGCCUGGCAUUUCAGGUUUUCCAUAAUCUGUCUCCUACCUAGCUUUCUAGUCUUAAUUUUGGACUACUACCCUUCAUAUUAUAUCUAGCAAAAUUGGACUAUUAACUAUUGCUUUAUCUUUUGUAUUUUCCCACUACUAUAAAUGUAUUCAGGCUGUCUUCCUAAUGUGAAACACUCUCCACAUCUCUACCUCUUAAAACAGUUCUCUCUGUUCAAGACCCAGUGCAGGUGUCAUUCCUCCAACUAAGUCUUCCCUAAUCUCAACGCCUCCCUCCCCCAACUAAAAGCAAUAACCUGCUCAAAUUUUCUUAAGGAUCUUACAGUAUGAGUUUUCAUUAAAGGCAAUAUCUUUUUUUAAUCUAACAUAAUGUCUUAUACAUAGUAGGCAGAAUUUAUUAUUGAAUUGAGAAAUGGAGAACCAAAGAAGGCAUCCUAAAGGGGUUGAUUUGGGCUGUCCCUGCCAAGUUAGAUGACAUUAGCAUGAGCAGAGUCCUUCCUCCAAGGAAAAAGGACAACCCCAUAGGCUAGAGUACAUGCUGAGGAUUAAAUUCUUCUUGAUCAUAAGAUCAUACAUGAGGAGCUUAAAGAUAUCUUCUUAGAUAUCAUAUAGUUCAACUCUGAUUUUAGCAAUGAAGCAAUGAAGACCUAGAAAGGUAGAAACAUUUUUACCAAAGUAGCACAUGUGACAGCCCUGAGAGCCCAAGUUCCCUGACUAACAGCUUUCCACUAAACCAUGAUACUUUUUGAUAGUUUGGCAGAGCUAAGACAGGAGAGUUCAGAUUUGUGUAAGCAAGAACAAGUUUCCAAGGCCAUUAAUGACUUGGUGAAAGCUGUUUCUGUUGAAGAUGUAUGCCAGAGUUCUUUGGAUGAAUUGAAGAUGAAGGGAAUCAUUCUCAGAACUGGAGGUGGGGAAUCGGGGAACUUCCAGCUAAACAGUUAAAUGCCACAUGCAUAGAGUAGACAGCUAGAUAAAAAGUCACCUCCACACCCACAGACUUGUGUAUCUGACCUAAGCCUAAGAGUUUGGGCUCAACAUCUAUAAGAGAUAACUUUGUCCCUGUACCCAAGAUCAUAUAAGGUCUGUCUGAAUUUCCUAGGGCAAACUCUGGAGUGUCUAGUAAAGAAGUUCCCUUUAAUCAUGAGCCACAAUGAAUCUGGCUUUGGAGAAUAAGAAGCUUUUACUACUAUGUUUGGUUCUUUGUUGAGGUGUUCCAAGAAACUUUCUCCCUCCCCAGAGAAGAUAGACAAUAUCUAGGUAAUUGAUGGAAGGAGAAAGAUUUCCUCUUCCUGAAAAGAGUGAGUUAUAUGCUAGAUCCUAAUCUUUAUUAGAAGUCAACCUUCACCCAAUGGGGGCAGGCUAAGAUUAUUUUUUUUUUGCCCAUCUUGAGAUAUCAGUUUCUGAGUAACUGUCUAUAAGUGAUUAUCAGAAAGCAUUAUUUUCAUUUGUUUUAUUUAUAUAAUAUUCCCAGAAUUUCAUGGAAGUAAACUGAGAAUUGAGGUGGUCUGGCAACUCUUAUAGAAUCAGUGUGGUCCUCUGGAGGACAUAUCUGAGUAAGAUGUGAUAUAUAGAUCACCUGGAUAUACCAGGUUGAGAUGAUUAUAGGGCCCAGGAUCUGUAUAACCUACCACCCUUCCCACCCAGCCACACACAUAACUCAGUGACAAAACAAGGACAAAAAGAACAUUGUUCUGUAAGGACAAAAAGACUGGCCUUGAAUAAGCCCCUACUUGAAGAUUUUUAAAAAGCCAUCAAACAAGGGGACACUGAAACACAUGGAAGGUUGGUAUGUAGAAGCUGUUGAUUUUCAUCUAUAAAUGACCCUUGGAGGAAAAUUACAUCCUAAUAUAUUGUGCUAAUUUUGGAAUUUUCCCUUAAGCUGUUUUUUUAAAAUUGUAUCUUGUCUUAAUUAGUUUGCAAGCUCCUUUAAGGCAGGAACUGUCUUUGUUUUUAUUUGUAGUUGUGUUGUUUUUUCAAU